GAUAGACAUCUGGGCAAGUCAACAGGAAGGUGGAUAUCCAAAUCUCUCUCUUCGCAAUGAGUUUCCAGUUAGAUGGAGGAGAGAGUAAUAAAACACAUAACACUGAAGAAUGCAGUUUACUUACAUCUUUUUCUGUUUGACAGAAGACAGUUAUUAGUUACCCUUGGGACAUCAAAAUGACCAAGGCAGUGUCUGCUAAGUAUUUGCUGAGACUCUGCUAUGAUUCUUUCAAGUCUAAAGACAGUUAUCUGAAUGAUAUCCCCGUGACAGUGGACUCCUGCACAUUCACAGUCCUGGAAGGAGCCUGUCCACAUUGGCAUUCUGGAAGUCCAUAAAAGACAAACGCAUAUGCAGUCCCCGAGAAAGCAUUGUUGUAAACAAAUCUGCACUAGAUGGAAACUCUGUUAUGUGGUGCCGGCAUGCAUGGAAGAGAACCCGAAAGGAAGAAGCUAUACGACUGGGGACACAUGUCUUAGAAGCACACUCAUUAGAUAAAGUGUCGCAUACUCUUUGAUAAGGUAAGGCUCCCUGGACGAGAUGUUUUACAGGUACCAUGAGCUCAGUGAAUUGCUUUUGGAAAGACACUCAGCGGAGUGGGCACCACGAGGUUAGGAGAAGCAGCUUCUGCUCGUCAUAACUUUGGCAAAUGUUUACACAUCAGUAAUGAAAAAUAUUCUCUUGGCGAUUUCAGGCUUGUUACUAUGGAUGUUGUUUGCUAACAUUGACUAUUUUUCCUAACUGCUUAUAGAAACUCCAGGCUGUCACCCAUCUGUUCUCUCAUCAAAGUAGUUUUGGGCCAGCAACUAUUUCAGACAUUUCUACAGUUUCAGAUGUCUCACUCUGCCUAUGACUGUAUGUUGUACUUGAGGACUGGACGCACAGGGUAAAGUGCAAAUAGCAAGCAUUCAGGUCCAACUCUCCUCCUUCUGGUUAACAAUAUGAAAGAAAGAGGUAGUAUCGGAAUUAUUUUAGUUCAAUGUAGCCAUUAUAAAAUGUGUAUAUAUUUUAAAACAUCAUG
rnacentral:lncRNA from 1 species